GUGAUGUUUAUGGGACAUAUAGGAGUGCCAACAAAGAAGCUCGUCAAAGAGUUCCCAGGUGUCUUGAAAGCACAUAAAUCCAGAGAAUGACAGACUUUGAUGACAAAGGAAGGACCGCCCCGCCACCUUCCUGUUCAAGUGAGUGCAGCACAACAAGCACAGCAGCAUCCUUUAUGAGUUGGAGAAUGCUUAACCAGCCAUCCGAAGAGAGGAGCAGAGGCAGCCACUGCGUCAGCGUCAGGACAAUGACCCAACACACCUCCAGGCUGUGUAAGGGCUAUUUUACCAAGAAGGAGAGUGAUGGACUGCUGCAUCAGAUGACCUGGCCUCCACAAUACCCCGACCAGAAAUCAAAUUGAGAUGGUUUGGGAAGAGUCAGAAUGCAGAGUGAAGGAAAUGCAGCCAACAAGUGCUCAGCAUAUGUGGGACCUCCUUCGAGAGUGUUGGAAAAGCAUUCCAGCUGAAGCUGGUUGAGAGAAUGCCUAGAGUGUGGAAAGCUGUCAUCAAGGCAAAGGGUUUCUAGUGCCUUCAACAACAUCCAGCCACAUCUUCGAGCCCGGAAUCUCCAGGUCAUGCAGUUACAUCCUCCCGACAUCGCCUGCGUCACGGACUAACUCACUGACGGGCCAUAGUGGGUCAGACUACAGAACCACUUGGGCUCAGACACCAUCAUCACUAACACAGGUUCCCCACAAGGGACGGUUUUGUCACCAUUCCUCUUCACCCUCUACACAGCAGACUGCCGGCAAGCCCAAGCCUCCUGACACCUACGAAAGUUUUCAGACGAUUUCAGCCAUUAUAUGCUGCAUCACGAAGAAUGACGAUCACCUAUACAGGGGGGGGGGGGAUGUCUUCAUUUGUGGCAUGGUGCAGUCAAAACAACCUGGAGCUGAAGGCAUCAAAAACAAAAGAGCUGGAGAUAGACUUGAGAAGGAAGAAGGAGAGCGCUUUUCCUCUGAUCGGGGUCACCGUGGAAAUGGUAGACUCAUAAAAAU
ensembl:lncRNA